UACGAAGGGGGCUAGCGUUGCUCGGAAUCACUGGGCGUAAAGGGCGCGUAGGCGGCCAUUUCAGUCAGGGGUGAAAGCCUGUGGCUCAACCACAGAAUUGCCCUCGAUACUGGAUGGCUUGAGACCGGAAGAGGUAAGUGGAACUGCGAGUGUAGAGGUGAAAUUCGUAGAUAUUCGCAAGAACACCAGUGGCGAAGGCGGCGUACUGGUCCGGAUCUGACGCUGAGGCGCGAAAGCGUGGGGAGCAAACAGG
rnacentral:rRNA from 1 species